AGCAACGGAAAGUGGACGGGUGCCGGGAAGUCCGGUGCAAAUCCGGCGCUGCCCCGCAGCGGUGAGCGGGAACGAAGGCUGCAGCCAGUCAUCCUGACCGGGGCCACUGGCGGGAUACCGCUGGGAAGGUGCAGCUGGUAGGUCGAUCCGCGAGCCCGAAGACCGACCCGUCCGCUCGGAACGGU
rnacentral:ncRNA from 2 species